GUUGUGAGGUUAAGCGACUAAGCGUACACGGUGGAUGCCCUGGCAGUCAGAGGCGAUGAAGGACGUGCUAAUCUGCGAUAAGCGUCGGUAAGGUGAUAUGAACCGUUAUAACCGGCGAUUUCCGAAUGGGGAAACCCAGUGUGAUUCGUCACACUAUCAUUAACUGAAUCCAUAGGUUAAUGAGGCGAACCGGGGGAACUGAAACAUCUAAGUACCCCGAGGAAAAGAAAUCAACCGAGAUUCCCCCAGUAGCGGCGAGCGAACGGGGAGCAGCCCAGAGCCUGAAUCAGUGUGUGUGUUAGUGGAAGCGUCUGGAAAGGCGUGCGAUACAGGGUGACAGCCCCGUACACAAAAAUGCACAUACUGUGAGCUCGAUGAGUAGGGCGGGACACGUGGUAUCCUGUCUGAAUAUGGGGGGACCAUCCUCCAAGGCUAAAUACUCCUGACUGACCGAUAGUGAACCAGUACCGUGAGGGAAAGGCGAAAAGAACCCCGGCGAGGGGAGUGAAAAAGAACCUGAAACCGUGUACGUACAAGCAGUGGGAGCACGCUUAGGCGUGUGACUGCGUACCUUUUGUAUAAUGGGUCAGCGACUUAUAUUCUGUAGCAAGGUUAACCGAAUAGGGGAGCCGAAGGGAAACCGAGUCUUAACUGGGCGUUAAGUUGCAGGGUAUAGACCCGAAACCCGGUGAUCUAGCCAUGGGCAGGUUGAAGGUUGGGUAACACUAACUGGAGGACCGAACCGACUAAUGUUGAAAAAUUAGCGGAUGACUUGUGGCUGGGGGUGAAAGGCCAAUCAAACCGGGAGAUAGCUGGUUCUCCCCGAAAGCUAUUUAGGU
rnacentral:rRNA from 1 species